rnacentral:misc_RNA from 1 species
AACGCACGAGACCUGCGGACCUGCGGAAGGAUCAUUAUUGAAUAAACUUGAUGUAGUUGAGCUGACUCUCUCGGGAGUAUGUGCUCGCUCGUCAUCUUUAUCUUUCCACCUGUGCACUUUUUGUAGAUUUGGAUAUAACUGUCCGAGGCAACUCGGUUGGGAGGAAUGCUGUCUCUGAUGGCUUUCCUUGUAUGUCCAAGUCUAUGUUUUCAUAUACUCCAAGUAUGUAACAGAAUGUAU